AUGGGGGAAACACUGGAGCGGAUGAAAAGAAAGCGGCGGACAAUCCGCUCUUCGACAACGAAGCUGCUAACUCGUAUGGAGGAGGAGGUGAGCGAAGAACAGGUAGACUGUGAGAAACUCCGUGAAAUGCUUUCAGUGUUGUCUACAAAAGAAGAACAACUUGUGGACUUGGACAGAGGCAUUGAGGAUGAAACACCGACAGAUGAACUGGAAGCAGAGAUUGCUAGCACGCAGGACUACCAGGACCGUAUCAUCACAUGGAAGACUCGCACUAAAAGACUUAUUGAAAGGUCACGGGAGUCUGUGAGUGCGCGGGUGGGUGAUAUGGACUCAGUCAGAUCACACAAUCAACAGACUGUUAAACUCCCUAAGCUAGUGAUAGAAAAGUACAGUGGAGAAAUAAGCCAGUGGCACGAAUUUUGGUCACAGUAUGAAAUGGCCAUACACGAAAAUGAUGCACUGUGCAAGAAAGAGAAAUUCACUUACUUGAAAUCUUACUUGACUGGAGCAGCAGCGAGAGCUGUAGCAGGACUUACUAUGAGUGAUAGUAAUUAUGAUGCAGCUAUAGAAAUACUCCAGAAGCGCUUUGGAAGGAAGGACAUUGUAAUCAGUGCGCACAUGUCCAAACUGCUGAACCUUACUCCCGUGAGGAAAUCUUCAGAUGUGACAGCUCUCAGGAAUCUGUACGACGAAUGUGAAAUACAGAUCCGCAGUCUUGAAUCCUUAGGAGUGCAUAGUGACACAUAUGGCUGCCUGCUCUGCCCAGUAUUAAUGCAGUUACUACCAGAGGACAUUGCAUUAGCUUACACACGCAAAUCAGACUCCAAUGGUGAAUGGAAGGUGCAGGACCUUAUUCAAUUCCUGGAAAAAGAAGUGCAAGGCAGAGAGAGGGCACUUCAGCUCACCAGACCAGGAAACACUCAGAAAGAAAUCCCGCCAAGUAACAGAUCCUUCACCAAGCCAACAUCCUUCAGUGAAAAUAGACACAAAAAAUGGAAUACACCCUCAGCAGCUGCACUGCACACUGCAAGUAUUGUUCCGCAGACUUGUGUGUAUUGUGACAGUGCUAGCCAUAAACCAGAAAACUGUCCAGACAGUUCAGUGGCUGCAUGUAAAGAGAAGUUGAGAAAACUAGGGAGGUGUUAUGUGUGUUUAGGCCCAAAACACAUAGCCAAAUUUUGUAGAGUCAAGAAUGUUUCAUGCGCCUUUUGCAGUCGCAGGCAUCACCAGUCAGUAUGUGAACAAGGUGAAGCAAAGACAGACACAAACAAUGAUGGUACAGACAGCAGUGCAGAUAAAGGCAGCACAGGGACUUCGGUAGGCUCAGUGACCAGCGCAGUAAACCUAAAGGCUAAUGUGCAGAACACAGUACUUCUCCAGACAGCCAAAGCAUGGGCAGAGGGCCCAGCAGGUAGAAAAUUAGUGCGCUGUCUGUUAGAUGGAGGUAGUCAGAGAAGCUUCAUUCACGAGGCUGUAGUGAGGGCACUACAGUUACCAGUGGUGAGGCAAGAGACAUUGAAGCUACACACCUUUGGCUCUAAUGAGCCUGUAACCGCAAAGCGAAACAUAGAGUAUCACUAGGAAGUGUGUGGAGCGCACAGCCAAAAGUCGAGAUUGAAGCAGUAGAAACUCCUCAAGUGUGCACCGCUGUAAUCAGGGUGCCUGGGUUACCCAUCCAAGAAGAGUUUAAGAAAAGGGGCCUGCAGCUUGCUGAUCUUCCUCUAGAGUGCGCUCAGGAUCCAGAAUUGUCAGUAUUGAUAGGUUCAGAUUUUUACUGGCAAGUAGUCUCAGGCAAGGUAGAAAGAAUAACAGAAACCCUUGUAGCCAUAGAAAGCAGCUUUGGGUGGGCUUUGCAAGGGCCAGUCUCAUCAUCCAGUGUAACAGACGCCACUUGCCUGCACAUCAGUCUAAGUGAGGAAACCCAAAUCUCAAAACAGCUGCAUGCCUUCUGGGAGAUAGAGUCUCUGGGCAUUGUCAAUGAGCCAGCAGAGAGCCCAGAAGAAGCAGAGGCUCUUCAGAACUUUGAGCAGACCACCACAUUCAAAGAUGGCCGCUACCAAGUGGCGUUACCAUGGCGACCGGACAGGUCGGCUCUUCCAGACAACUUUCGGGUUGCAAAAAAACGACUGGAUAGCCUUAAGAGGAAACUUAAAGUGGACGCAACCUUAUACACAAGGUACAACGAUGUCUUGAUCUGUUCUGUACGACAUCUAUUGCACGUCUGUCCGUCCUGGAAGAGGGAUCCCUCCUCAGUUGCUCUUCCUGAGGUUUCUACCGUUUUUUUUUCCCCCGUUAAAGGGGUUUUUUUGGGGAGUUUUUCCUUAUCCGCUGUGAGGGUCUUAAGGACAGAGGGAUGUCGUAUGCUGUAAAGCCCUGUGAGGCAAAUUGUGAUUUGUGAUAUUGGGCUUUAUAAAUAAAAUUGAAUUGAAAUUGAAUUGAAUAAAGGAUUAUCUCGAGCAAGGCAUCUGUGAGGAUGCACCAAAUGACAUACCAGCAGCAGAGCAACAAGAGACUGUCAAGUAUCACAUGCCACAUCAUGCAGUUCUACGAGAAGAUAAGGUAACUACUAAAUUAAGAGUAGUAUUUGAUGCAUCAUCACAUGAGGAAGGCUGCCCAUCCCUAAAUGACAGCUUAUUCACUGGACCGAACCUUAACCCAAAUCUGCUAGAUGUGCUUAUCAAAUUCAGACUGCAUCAGAUAGCCUUCACUACAGAUAUAGCCAAGGCAUUUCUACAGAUCGCUCUGGCAGAGAAAGAUAAAGACGCUGUCAGAUUCUUGUGGCUACAUGGACCUCCAACCAAAGACUGUGAAAACGAGCUGCGCAUCAUGAGAAUGAACAGAGUGGUGUUUGGAGUUUCACCCAGUCCGUUCCUCUUAGCCGCAACAAUAAGGAAACACAUCAAGAUGUAUGAAACAGAGCAGCCCAAGACAGUGCAGGCACUGAGAGAGUCCCUGUAUGUGGAUGAUUUUAUCUCCAGCUCAGCUAAUGUGAACGAGGCCUUUUCAGUCACCACAACAGCAAAGGAAAUUCUGUCCCAUGCGGGAAUGAAUUUGUGUAAAUGGGUGACAAACUCACCGGAGCUGAGAGCCAAGUGGAUAGAAAGUGGACUGGAACAUACAACCAAGACAGACAAAGGUGGAAAUGUGCUCAAGGUGUUGGGUUUAGUAUGGAGACCGGAGAGCGAUGACUUUGUGUUUGAUCUGAAAGGACUGUUGGAAAUGUUGAAAGGCAAAGAAAACACAAAGAGAAGUGUGCUGCAAACAUCAGCUCGUAUUUUUGAUCCCAUAGGUUUCCUUACUCCCUUCACCAUAAGAGUAAAAUGUCUGUUUCAGGAAUUGUGGGAAAGGGGAAUCAGUUGGGAUGAGCAACUCCCACCAGACUUGACUGAAAAAUGGGACCAGUGGUGUGCAGAGCUGCCGAAGCUCCACCUGGUGGCCAUUCCGAGAUGGUACAAAAUUGACAUCCAGCCAAUCUCAGAGACAAUCAAACUGCAUGUUUACUGUGAUGCUAGUGAGAAGGCAUACAGCGCUGUGGCCUAUCUGCAAGGACAAAAUGAGGAAGGAGAAGUUGUGAUGAGCUUUGUUGCAUCCAAGUCAAAGGUGGCUCCAUUAAAGAAAAUGACAUUGCCACGUUUAGAGCUGAUGGGUGCACUGAUCGGUGCAAGGCUUGGGAACAAUCUUCUCAAGCCAAUGAACAUGGAAAGCAGUCAGCUUAACAUGUGGACAGAUUCAAUGAUUGUCCUUCACUGGAUACGCAGCACAGCACAAAGGUGGAAGCCAUUUGUGGCAAACAGAGUGACUGAAAUACAAGGUCUGACAGAUCCAGAGUCAUGGUCUCACUGCUGCGGCAAAGUAAAUCCUGCAGAUUUGCCAACAAGAGGCCAGAGCGUCGAAACACUCAUUCAGAGUCAGCUGUGGUGGAGCGGACCAACUCCACUGUCAUCUUCUGGUGAGGAGCCUUUGUGCUCCACUGUCUCUCAGAUUAACUCAUAUCACAGCGGUGCCUGGACAGCGUGACGUGUGUGGUUGUGCUGCUGCCGUGGUCCCGCCAGAUGCCUCCUGCUGCUGCUGCCAUCAUUAGUCAUUAGUCAUACUUCUUCUGUUAUUAUACACAUAUGAUUAUUGUCACACAUGUAUACUGCCAGAUAUUAAUACAUACUUUCAACAUAUUGUACCGCAGUAACCAGAACUAUAACUAUAAUAUUAUUACUUCCAUUAAUGUUGUUGUAAGAUACUGUCAUUACCUGCAUAUCUCUCUCUCGCUCUCUCUCUCUCUCUCCCUCUCUCUCUCUCUCUCUCUCUCUCUCUCUCUCUCCCUGUGUCAUAUGGAUUACUGUUAAUUUAUCAUGUUGAUCUGUUCUGUACGACAUCUAUUGCACGUCUGUCCGUCCUGGAAGAGGGAUCCCUCCUCAGUUGCUCUUCCUGAGGUUUCUACCGUUUUUUCCCCGUUAAAGGGGUUUUUUUGGGGAGUUUUUCCUUAUCCGCUGUGAGGGUCAUAAGGACAGAGGGAUGUCGUAUGCUGUAAAGCCCUGUGAGGCAAAUUGUGAUUUGUGAUAUUGGGCUUUAUAAAUAAAAUUGAUUGAAAUUGAUUGAUUUCAGACUGUAGUGCAGUUUACCAGCACUGAACAAGCUGACCCACUGUUACGGUUAGAAAAGUAUAGCAGGUUGAAAACAGUGCUAAGGAUAACUGCUUGGGUGAAAAGGUUCAUCACUAAUGCCAGAUCUAGUCAGAAAACUCAGGGAGAGCUAACUGCACUGGAGCUCACUGCAGCAGAAAUGUACUGGGUGAGGGUGGCACAAGAACACAGUUUCUGCCAAGAAGUUAGUGCACUGAAAGCUGGACAAGAUGUAAGCAGAGUGUCAAAAAUUAGGGACUUGAAACCAUUCUUAGAUGAAAACAGCCUUAUUUGUGUAGGAGGAAGGCUACAGCACUCCGAUCUUAGCUUCAGGGAGCAACACCCAUGGGUGCUACCGACAAAACACAAGUAUUCUAAGUUACUGGUUCAGUAUUGCCAUGAGACAGUGAUGCAUUCUGGGGUUAGAGAUACUCUAGUGCAGAUGAGGGAAAAAUACUGGGUACUAAAGGGGAGACAGUUAGUGAAGAAAAUGGUUUCACGUUGCUACAUAUGUUUGAAACUGAAGGUGAAACCAGCACAGCAAGUCACAGCUCCCCUACCCAGAGACCGAGUUACUGAGUCCCCACCAUUUCAGAUUACUGGGGUAGAUUUUGCAGGGCUAUUAUAUGUCAAGACUAGUGGUCAAUCCAAGGCAUAUAUUGCUCUUUUCACUUGUGCUGUCACAAGGGCAGUGCAUUUAGAGCUUGUGACAGAUCUAACUACAGAAAGGUUUCUAUUAGCCUUAAAGAGGUUCAUUGCAAGGCGAGGACUGUGUAAAGUUAUUUACUCAGAUAAUGCCAAAACUUUCAAAAGAGCAGAUAAAGAUCUGAGAGAACUGUGGAAGUCAAUCAGGGGAUCAGAACUCACUGAAUUCUUCACCAAUAAGGGGAUCACCUGGAAGUUUAUUGCCGAGCGAGCUGCAUGGUGGGGUGGCUUCUGAGAAAGACUAGUGAGAUCUGUAAAGGCAUGUUUAAAACGGGUGCUAAGGAAGGCAUCACUGUGCUUCGAGGAGCUGACGACAAUGCUUGCAGAAAUAGAGGCUGUGUUGAACUCCAGACCUCUUUCGUAUGUGGACAGUGAAUCAACAGAGCCGCAGCCACUCACACCCUCUCACUUCCUGGUUGGGAAAAGAUUAACCUCCCUACCACCAAAGACUGAUUCCACUCUGUCAGGCGACCAACGUGAGCAGAGAGGACAUGGGCCGGCGGUGGAAAUACCGGCAGAGACUCUUAACCAGCUUUUGGAAUAGCUGGAGGAAGGAUUACUUGAGGGACUUGAGAUCAGCUCACGAGUGUAAGACCCCUAUACCCACUGUGCUGAAGGUGGGAGAUGUCGUACUGAUUGGAGAGGACAAAUUGCCCAAACAUACAUGGAAAAUGGGCAGAAUAAUUGAACUGUUUCCAGGCAGAGAUGGACUUGUUCGUUCCUGUGCUGUUCGAACAUCUGCGGGCAGUUUGUUGAGGAGACCUGUCCAGUUGAUAUAUCCUUUAGGGAUUGUUUAAAGUCAUGGACAGAGUAUUGAUGAACAUUUGUUCAUCGGGCGGGAGUGUUAAGAAAUGUUAACUUAAAUAAAUAAGUAAAUUCACGGUCAGUUAAAAGGGCAAAGUAUUUACAGUUGAAAAUGUUGAUAUUUACAAUAUUUACAUGUCACAAGAAACAAGAAAUGGUUAUUGUUGUAUUUAACCAGAGAUUUGAUUUCUUUGAAAGCUUUGAGUUGAACUACUUUAAAUGCUUUUAUUUUGAAAGUUGAGAGUGCGUUCAAAGGCCACCCCCAUGUUAGCUAGUGAUGUUGAAAUAUUAAAGGCUUGCGAGACAGGGGAAGAGAGCUCUGCUUUGCAUAUUUUUCCAACCAAUAUGCAAGUAACUGAGCAUAAUUUUAUCCAGUUGAUUACCAUGUGUCCAGAUUAUGUUAAGAUAGAAGCCAAAGAUUUCAAACAUAACAGGAAAACAGGCCAAUUGGAAUGUACAGCAGGGCAUCAUAGUAAUGCGGACACAUGUUUACCGGAGAGUUUGUGUUUGGCAAGGAAUGCACGUGUUAUGUUAUGUAAGAACGUAGAUGUUGAGGACGGUCUGGUCAAUGGCGCAUGUGGCACGGUAACUCAUAUCGAUUUUGGUGAUGAUGAGAAGUUUCCUAAAACAGUUUAUGUCAAAUUUGAUGAUGAGAAAAUUGGCUCACAGAGGAGGAAAACACAUGCACAUGCAGCAGUAGAAUGCAGGUAUUCUACUGUUAUUGAUCCCGAGGAGGACAGGGCAACUAAAGCAGGUGGUCUGCGAUUUCAUUUUCCUCUUAGGCUAGCGUGGGCGUGUACAGUGCAUAAAGUGCAGGGAUUAAUGGUAGAUGAGGCUGUAGUGUCUUUGAAGAAGUUGUUCGCACCUGGGCAGGCGUAUAUAGCUUUGAGCCAUGUUAGGGCUUUGUCUGGACUGAUCAUCAGGGAUUUUAAAGAGAAGGCCAUUUACCUCAAGGAUGCCAUAAAGGAGGCCUUAGACAGCAUGCCCCCAUUUUUAAUUGAGCAGCCUAAAGUUUCUCUGUGUAUUUAAUGAACGUUCAAAAUUUAAGUCGCCACCUGGCAGAUUUGGUGUCUUGCACACAGCAUUUACAGCCUAACUGUAUUGCUGUCACAGAAAUGUGGCUCACUGCACAGUCCCCGUUAGACAGUGUCCAAAUUGAUGGAUAUGCUUUCCACAGUCGUCCGCGAGGUUUGUGUUGCAGCAGCAGUAACCCCAAAUUGUUAGAGCUCCAGGAUCUAGAACAUGGUGGAGUUGGUUUGUACAGUGUAGGUAAUUUGGACUGUAGCAUCCUGCAGGCACCCGAUUUGAAUCUGGAGUGUUUGGUGUGCCUGUGUAGCAAAUUUAACAUUCUGAUGGUAGUAAUUUAUCGUCCACCAUGUUAUCCAAAGUCUUUAUUUAAACAAAAUCUGGGGAAAUUACUUGAUUGGUUGAAUCCAAUUAGUGACACAGUUGUAGUGAUGGGAGAUUUUAAUGAGAAUGUUUGAAAAAAUCAUCAAUUUGUAAAUUCAUGGGGCAAAAAGGAUUUCAUCAGCAUGUAACACAGGAGACAACAGAAAAGGGGACAUUAAUUGAUCACGUUUAUAUUAAAACAGCACAGUAUGAUGUGGAAUGUGCAGUGAUGCCCACAUACUUCAGUGAUCAUGAAGGUAUUCUGUGUAGUUUUAGUGUAAGAGAUGAUCAGGGUGAGCUAGAGGACUUAAACAGGUUGUUUGAGGACUUUCAGGAUGUAGAGGUGGAUGCGUAGUGUUUAGAUGUGGAUUAGAUCAGGUUGGUGUGUGUAGUCUGCGAUGCAGCUUCAUGUGACUCAUACAAAGUCCCAGUGCAAAUGUAGGUAGUGGUGGUGUUAUUAUUGUCAUUGUGUUUAUCUGUAGAGUUUUAAGAGGAAACUGACUUGCAGUUUGUUGUUGUGUAGGUUUGCACUCACGUGAAUUUGUGUUAGUGUUGAGUCUGUCCCACUCCAUUGUGUGAAGAUUGUGUAUUGUAGGGAGAUUUGAGUGUAUUGUGUGGAAAUGUUUUUAGUAUGUUGAUAUGAUUAUUGUGUAGAGAUUUUAGGUGAAACCAAUCAUGUAUUACAGGUGGAAUUAGUUGAGUGUUAGCUGUUGUGAAUAGUGUUAGUUAAUUAAUAUAAUCAUGGUUUUUACAGCUGUUAGUGAUUGUAGAUGUGUUGGUCUCUGUCUGCCACAUGUUGGUUGUUGGUCUCUGUUACGACUGUGAAUGUAUGUAUUUAUGCAUGUUAGAGUUUGUGGUUCUUUCACUCCUGAUGUGUUCAUAUGCAACUGUUUCAGUCAUGAAAAUAUGAAAAGGUUAAUUUGACUCAAACAAAUACAUCAAUAGAAAAUAGACAGGCUUGAUGUUGCAUGUUUUCUGUAGCCCUCUAGUGUUCAAAAUUCUGACCAGUAACUUAGAAAAGAUGCAACAGUUAAAUUAUGAUGUUACAUAUGAACACAAAAGGAAAUAUUGUAUUUAAUAAGUGAACAGUUAAUAUUAUGGUUGUUACUUAUUCAUGUAUUUAUUUAUCAAUCAAUCAAUGUUAUUGAUAAAACCCAAUAUCACAAAUCACAAUUUGCCUCACAGGACUUUACAGGAUACGACAUCCCUCUGUCCUUGGGACCCUCACAGCUGAUCAUGAGCCUCCCACCACACACACACACACAAACACACACACACACACACACACACACACACACACACACGCACACACACACAAAAUGGUAGAAAGCUCAGGAAGAGCAACUGAGGAGGGAUCCCUCUUCCCAGACAGACAAACAGGCAGUAGAUGGCGUACAGAACAGAUCAGCAUAAUAAACAGUAAUACGUAUGACACAAUGAGACAGAGAGAAAUACAGAGAGAGAGACAGAGAGACAGAGAGGUGCAGGAGAAACGGUAAUGACAGCAGCUUACAACAACAAUCAUCUGGCAGGAGCACGGUAGCAACAGUAGCUUUUAAUACAGGAAGUGCAGUCAGUAGUUCAGAUAAGAAAUGCUCAUGUUUGUGUACAUGACCUUACAGCAACUCUGACCUUACAGCAAAUCUGUUCUGGCACCACAAGGCACAGACUCUUCAUUCUGCAUGUCUUAGCUGCCGAACAGGACACUUGUACACAAAACAUGCUGCUGCUGCUGCUGCUGCUGCUGUUGUUGUUUCCACGAAUUCUCCUCCCCCUUGUGUCCCUGCAAUCUUAUGUUUUCUCUUUCCCUGUCCCUUUCAAACUUUCUAUAGCUCAUUGACACCGCUUAAAUGAAUUGAAUAGUUGGUUGGUGGCGUUUCCUUUUUAACAGUAAUCUUUCUUCUCUGUGAGGUGGUUGAAAAUGCUGCUGUGAUGGAGCAUCCCAACCUCUGCAGUCCCCAAGUGAUAUUGAUGAGCAAGUGGAAUUUUGGGACAAAAGUUCCACGUGUUUGUUUGUUUUUUGUGUGUGUGCAUGUUCUGCCCAAGAUGUACUGUAGUCUAUGUGAGGGGCAUGAUAAAAGUUCAAAAAGUAAUCCCAUGUCAAUUGUUGUUUGAGAGCAUGGACAGGAAGAGAAUGUAGGACUGUUAAUUGCUCUUUUUUUUUCUACAUGAACUAUAAAGUGAAACAAUGAGUUAUGUAAAUGAAUGUCCUGACGUGUUUUGUUGCCAUAUUUUCAACCAAUGUAUUAACUAAAAUUUAACUGUGAUAUGUUGGCUAUGGAAACAAAAUGUCAUCUCCAAAGUAUCCACAUUCAAAUGAAAUACACUGUAAUGAUAAAUAAACUAUAUAAU